AUUGAACGCUGGCGGCAUGCCUUACACAUGCAAGUCGAACGGCAGCACGGGGCAACCUGGUGGCGAGUGGCGAACGGGUGAGUAAUGCAUCGGAACGUACCUUUCAGUGGGGGAUAACGUAGCGAAAGUUACGCUAAUACCGCAUAUUCUGUGAGCAGGAAAGCAGGGGAUCGCAAGACCUUGCGCUGAUUGAGCGGCCGAUGUCAGAUUAUCUAGUUGGUGAGGUAAAGGCUCACCAAGGCGACGAUCUGUAGCGGGUCUGAGAGGAUGAUCCGCCACACUGGAGCUGAGACACGGUCCAUAAUCCUACGGGAGGCAGAAGUGGGGAAUUUUGGACGAUGGGGGCAACCCUGAUCCAGCCAUGCCGCGUGAGUGAAGACGGCCUUCGGGUUGUAAAGCUCUUUCGGCCGGGAAGAGAUCGCACGGGCUAAUACCCUGUGUGGAUGACGGUACCGGAAUAAGAAGCACCGGCUAACUACGUGCCAGCCGCCGCCGUAAUAC
rnacentral:rRNA from 1 species